rnacentral:rRNA from 1 species
UACGUAGGUGGCGAGCGUUGUCCGGAUUUACUGGGCGUAAAGGGCGUGCAGGCGGUUUGUUAAGUGCAGGGUGAAAGCUCCCGGCUCAACUGGGAGAGGUCCUUGCAUACUGGCGAACUCGAGGGAGGCAGAGGAAAGUGGAAUUCCCGGUGUAGUGGUGAUAUGCGUAGAUAUCGGGAGGAACACCAGUGGCGAAGGCGACUACCUGGCCUGUUCUUGACGCUGAGGCGCGAAAGCUAGGGGAGCAAACAGG